CAUGUUGACUCAUUGACGGCUGAUUGAUAACUGAUUGCUCUCGAGCCCGGGGGUGAAGUGUGACAUAUAGACAAAAGAAAACAUGAUAUACCCAGGCCCGUGCCCAGGGGGGUUGCAAGGGGUGCGAAUGUGAUAGUUGUAGACAAAACUAUGAAGUAUAGGCCUAUUAGAUGCGAUAGAAAUUAAAUAAAAUAAAAAAAACGAAAAAACAAUUAUAGAUUCUGUAAUAAAUCUAUAAGUCAAACUUUAAUGCAUAAGCAUUAACUUGCAUAAUUUAAACUUGACUUCUUUGUAGCCAAAACCGAUAAUAAACGUUCCGUGGAGAUAAAAAUAUCUGGUUUAAUUUUGGUUCUUUGGAAGUGGAAUUUUUAUCAGAAAAAAUUAAACUCCCCUUGAACAAAAGAGAAUAUAUAUAGGCACACCCAAUCAAAGAUACCUCGCGUGAAUUACAUACUGGAAAGAUACGAUGUAUGGCGCGAAACUAAAUUGCGACCCUGACGGCAUUUUGCACAAUGAGGAGAAGAGAAGAAGCUAGAAAGCGAAAAGCUUGAUUCCUGGGUUGAUCGGAUAGUCAAAGGCAAGAAAAAGGGUCGUUCGAAGACAGUCUAGAUGGAAGUGGAACGACCACAGGUAGGUUCUAACACAAAAAUAAUUCAGCACGUGUUGACUCAAAUUCUACAUUUACUUAGGCGCUGUUCUAUAACAACUUUUUGGUUCGUAAACAGAUAGCCGUCAACUUACCAGCACUUAGGCGGGUGUCACAAGAUUUUGGACCUCAUCACAAGCCUAAUUUUUGUUUGAUAUUUGGAUCAAAGAUCUCAAUGUUCUUUAAACUUUUUUCAAUAGUCUUUUGUCUUUUUCUUUUCCUCUAGCUCGCUGCAUCACAUUAUUUUCAAUGAGAAACCCUCUCUCCUCACAGGGAAAACAUCAAGCGUCCAAGUGUCUCCAAGAGUGCAUGAUCAGCGGGCAGCGUCUUAGACAGGCAAUCGAGAAUCCAGCGAAAUCUGUAAACACCCUCCUUGAUGAAGAAAAGAGACGCAACAUAGAGCGCAACAAGCACAUAAUCAAAUGUGUUGCGGAAGCAGUGCGCUUUUGCGGUCGCCAAUGCAUUGCCUUGAGUGGUGGUGGAGUCAGGUGUUAACAGCAAAGACGAGCAUGCAUAUCAGCUCAAUAGAAAUGUGGGCAACUUUGUGGCAGCCCUUCAAAUGAUUGCCAAUCACGACGCUGUCCUAGACCAGCACCUCACUGCCACUGGAAUGAGAAAUAGGAACGCCGCGGAUACAGAAUGAAAUCAUUGAGAUAAUUGGCAACGAUAUGAUACUAGAUGGUCUCUUGGACAAGAUCAGGGCUACAAAGUUCUUCAGCAUAAAGGCUGAUGAAGUCACAAGCAACAACAAGGAACAGCUAGCUUUGUGUAUCUGUUUCGUCGACGGCAGUCAAGUGCACGAAGAAUUUAUCGGUUUCAUCCACCUACAGAAAAAACAGGCCAAGAAAUAGCCAAUGUCAUAUUGGAAAAGCUGCAGAGUCUCGGUCUGGACCCGAAAAAUAUCCGUGGUCAGGGUUAUGAUGAAGCUGCUAAUAUGUCAAGCGACAACGUUGGGAGUCCAGCGCAAAAUCAAGAAGCGCCCAAAGCAGUUUAUGUGCAUUACAGUGGACAUUGCCUUAACUUGUUUAUCGCCCAUAGUUGUCACCAACAAAGCAUUACGAGUGCAAUCGAUAAACUAAAGCAAUGCAGUCUGUUCUUCUUAGAAGUCCAAAACGAGAAGGUCUUCUUAACUUUCGAAAAGGCGGUAGAUGACGCGGAUCGCCGCAAGGCUCUUGUGUAUAUGUGUCGGACAAGAUGGGCGGCCCGCCACAAUGCAUACACACAUUUCUAUCAGUCAUUUACCUUUAUAAUCACUUCUUUGGAGAAUAUCAUUUAUGGAGCUAAUAGCGAACUGAUGGGUGGGGAGCACCAAGAUGCAUCAUGGGACAGGAGGAGCAAGGACAACGCAGCCUCUUUGCUGGCAAGUCUUACCUCCUUUUACUUCAUUGUCUCCUUCCUAGUACUCUACGAGUUUCUAUCACACUUGGCGGGAAUAACUGUGAAGUUGCAAGGCAGAGCUGUAGACAUUUUUAAAGUUCCUACAAGUGAAGGAGACCUAUGAGGUGUUGUCAUCAAAGAUGGAUGAGACGUUCUCCCAUAUAUACACCCACGCUGUGCGAAUGGCUGACAUCAUAAAUACUGCUCCAUCGAUGCCGCGUCUUGUUGGGAGACAGGUUCAUCACGUGAACGCCCCGGCUGUUAAUCCCGAGGAGCAUUAUAGGCGUAAUGUUGCAAUCCCCUUCAUGAACCACAUCCAGUCGGAACUGGAAGAACAAUUCUCAGGUCUGUCAGUACAUGCCUCGAGGCUCCAUUGCUUUGUCCCAUCCAUCCUUUGUGAGAAGUUUCCAGACGAAGAGGCCGAGGCCAUCCUCGAUACAUACAAAGAUGAUCUCCCCUCUCUGGAACUCUUGCACCAAGAAUUGGUCCGAUUCAAGAUAAGAUACGACGCGAAACAGUGCAAUGACAGACCAAGUACCGCAGUCCAAGCUCUAAAGGAGUGUGAUAGGGACAUGUUCCCUAAUAUCUCCACGCUGCUACAGAUCUGUUGCACUAUACCAGCUACAAGCUGCGAGUGCGAGAGAAGCGCGAGUGCACUUCGACGCCUCCACACGUACAACAGAUCGUGCAUGGGGCAAGAGAGGCUGUCGGCAUUGGCCCUUUAUCCAUUGUCACUACGACACCGACGUCGACCUGGAUCAAGUGAUCAAUCAGUUUGCAAGAAAACACCCUAGAAAAAUUGACCUUGGAACCAUGCUUAAAGAUUAAUUUUGGGCAGAAGAUCAACAGAAUCAUAUACAGCCAGUAGCGGUCAAGGCCAUGUGUAUAGAUAUGAAAGAAAUAAAAGAGAACACAUUUAUCCGUCA